rnacentral:rRNA from 1 species
CGAAUGGCGAAGGCUACCAUGCGAGUCGAGCGGAACGAGUUGUCUGAACCUUCGGGGAACGAUAACGGCGUCGAGCGGCGGACGGGUGAGUAAUGCCUGGGAAAUUGCCCUGAUGUGGGGGAUAACCAUUGGAAACGAUGGCUAAUACCGCAUAAUAGCUUCGGCUCAAAGAGGGGGACCUUCGGGCCUCUCGCGUCAGGAUAUGCCCAGGUGGGAUUAGCUAGUUGGUGAGGUAAUGGCUCACCAAGGCGACGAUCCCUAGCUGGUCUGAGAGGAUGAUCAGCCACACUGGAACUGAGACACGGUCCAGACUCCUACGGGAGGCAGCAGUGGGGAAUAUUGCACAAUGGGCGCAAGCCUGAUGCAGCCAUGCCGCGUGUAUGAAGAAGGCCUUCGGGUUGUAAAGUACUUUCAGCAGUGAGGAAGGUGGAUGUGUUAAUAGCACUUUCAUUUGACGUUAGCUGCAGAAGAAGCACCGGCUAACUCCGUGCCAGCAGCCGCGGUAAUACGGAGGGUGCGAGCGUUAAUCGGAAUUACUGGGCGUAAAGCGCAUGCAGGUGGUUUGUUAAGUCAGAUGUGAAAGCCCGGGGCUCAACCUCGGAAUUGCAUUUGAAACUGGCAGACUAGAGUACUGUAGAGGGGGGUAGAAUUUCAGGUGUAGCGGUGAAAUGCGUAGAGAUCUGAAGGAAUACCGGUGGCGAAGGCGGCCCCCUGGACAGAUACUGACACUCAGAUGCGAAAGCGUGGGGAGCAAACAGGAUUAGAUACCCUGGUAGUCCACGCCGUAAACGAUGUCUACUUGGAGGUUGUGGGCCUUGAGCCGUGGCUUUCGGAGCUAACGCGUUAAGUAGACCGCCUGGGGAGUACGGUCGCAAGAUUAAAACUUCAAAUGAAUUGACGGGGGCCCCGCACAAGCGGUU